CAGUCGAGGGGCAGCAUGGUCUUAGCUUGCUAAGGCCGAUGGCGACCGGCGCACGGGUGAGUAACACGUAUCCAACCUGCCGUCUACUCUUGGACAGCCUUCUGAAAGGAAGAUUAAUACAAGAUGGCAUCAUGAGUCCGCAUGUUCACAUGAUUAAAGGUAUUCCGGUAGACGAUGGGGAUGCGUUCCAUUAGAUAGUAGGCGGGGUAACGGCCCACCUAGUCUUCGAUGGAUAGGGGUUCUGAGAGGAAGGUCCCCCACAUUGGAACUGAGACACGGUCCAAACUCCUACGGGAGGCAGCAGUGAGGAAUAUUGGUCAAUGGGCGAGAGCCUGAACCAGCCAAGUAGCGUGAAGGAUGACUGCCCUAUGGGUUGUAAACUUCUUUUAUAAAGGAAUAAAGUCGGGUAUGCAUACCCGUUUGCAUGUACUUUAUGAAUAAGGAUCGGCUAACUCCGUGCCAGCAGCCGCGGUAAUACGGAGGAUCCGAGCGUUAUCCGGAUUUAUUGGGUUUAAAGGGAGCGUAGAUGGAUGUUUAAGUCAGUUGUGAAAGUUUGCGGCUCAACCGUAAAAUUGCAGUUGAUACUGGAUAUCUUGAGUGCAGUUGAGGCAGGCGGAAUUCGUGGUGUAGCGGUGAAAUGCUUAGAUAUCACGAGGAACUCCGAUUGCGAAGGCAGCCUGCUAAGCUGCAACUGACAUUGAGGCUCGAAAGUGUGGGUAUCAAACAGGAUUAGAUACCCUGGUAGUCCACACGGUAAACGAUGAAUACUCGCUGUUUGCGAUAUACAGCAAGCGGCCAAGCGAAAGCGUUA
rnacentral:rRNA from 1 species